CUUGCCAAAAUACAAUUACACCCUCCCCCGUUAACCAGUUAUUCACGAUACAAAUCCUUACCUCCGCCGCUUCACUCUCACACAAUCACACACAGGCACACAGCUCUCUUUCUCUCUCCUAGGUAAAUCACUCUCAUCUUUCUCUCUCCUCCCUUCCCUCAAAGAUCUCAAAUAUUCAAUUCUCUCUCAUCUUCGAUCUAAUUUUCUGGUAAUUUAUACAAUCAAUUCUUCUUUUCUAAUUUCUUUUGCAGCAAUUUUGUUACAUGUCGACGGCGUAAACGGAACAAAGGGCGGCGAUUAUGGCGACGAGGUGUCGGCGGCUUAGGAGAGAGUGAAAGAGGAGGACCUCUGUAACACAUCCUGUCAUCUGGGUACAAUGGAGGACCUCCACUGCCUAGGAAGCUGAUUUCUUAGGGUUGCUAUUAACAAAAAGUUCAACGUUGAAGUUUAUCCUCUAUCCCUAAAGCUAACAGAUUCCAGGGACAAUCGUCAAUCUGAAGUGUCAAUAAGAAGUGGUCUCAGAAUGUUGGUAUGCUUUUCAGUAUUGAUUUACCCCAAUUAUCGGUUACAUGAUUGAUGGCCCUUAUGGAGUAUUUGGCUUCUAUACUUGAGCUUUAUGAGAAAGUGCGUGCACUUAAAGGGCUGCCACAAGAGAAGUUCCAAGUAUGGGACUACUUCAAUGAGAGGAAGCAAUGUAUAUUAAUUCCAUCAGACAAGACUUUGGAGGAUGCUUACCUUCAAAUGGACCAACAUGUUAUUAGUGCUUUCUUUCUCUACUUUUUUUUUUUUUUUUUUUUUUUUUCU